CGUAUAUUAAAGUUGUUGCAGUUAAAAAGCUCGUAGUUGGAUUUGUGGUUGGAGCGACCGGCCCGACACAGUGUGUUGGUGCUCGGUUGUCUCCGUCCAUCCUUGGGUGGAAUCUGUGUGGCAUUAAGUUGUCGUGCAGGGGAUGCCCAUCUUUUACUGUGAAAAAAUUAGAGUGUUCAAAGCAGGCUUACGCCGUUGAAUAUAUUAGCAUGGAAUAAUGAGAUAGGACCUAGGUACUAUUUUGUUGGUUUGCGCACCGAGGUAAUGAUUAAUAGGGACAGUUGGGGG
rnacentral:rRNA from 1 species